rnacentral:rRNA from 1 species
AGAGUUUGAUCCUGGCUCAGGACGAACGCUGGCGGCGCGCCUAACACAUGCAAGUCGAACGAGCGAGAGAGAGCUUGCUUUCUCAAGCGAGUGGCGAACGGGUGAGUAACGCGUGAGGAACCUGCCUCAAAGAGGGGGACAACAGUUGGAAACGACUGCUAAUACCGCAUAAGCCCACGACCCGGCAUCGGGUAGAGGGAAAAGGAGCAAUCCGCUUUGAGAUGGCCUCGCGUCCGAUUAGCUAGUUGGUGAGGUAAUGGCCCACCAAGGCGACGAUCGGUAGCCGGACUGAGAGGUUGAACGGCCACAUUGGGACUGAGACACGGCCCAGACUCCUACGGGAGGCAGCAGUGGGGAAUAUUGCACAAUGGGGGAAACCCUGAUGCAGCGACGCCGCGUGGAGGAAGAAGGUCUUCGGAUUGUAAACUCCUGUUGUUGAGGAAGAUAAUGACGGUACUCAACAAGGAAGUGACGGCUAACUACGUGCCAGCAGCCGCGGUAAAACGUAGGUCACAAGCGUUGUCCGGAAUUACUGGGUGUAAAGGGAGCGCAGGCGGGAAGACAAGUUGGAAGUGAAAUCCAUGGGCUCAACCCAUGAACUGCUUUCAAAACUGUUUUUCUUGAGUAGUGCAGAGGUAGGCGGAAUUCCCGGUGUAGCGGUGGAAUGCGUAGAUAUCGGGAGGAACACCAGUGGCGAAGGCGGCCUACUGGGCACCAACUGACGCUGAGGCUCGAAAGUGUGGGUAGCAAACAGGAUUAGAUACCCUGGUAGUCCACACUGUAAACGAUGAUUACUAGGUGUUGGAGGAUUGACCCCUUCAGUGCCGCAGUUAACACAAUAAGUAAUCCACCUGGGGAGUACGACCGCAAGGUUGAAACUCAAAGGAAUUGACGGGGGCCCGCACAAGCAGUGGAGUAUGUGGUUUAAUUCGACGCAACGCGAAGAACCUUACCAAGUCUUGACAUCCUGCGACGCACAUAGAAAUAUGUGUUUCCUUCGGGACGCAGAGACAGGUGGUGCAUGGUUGUCGUCAGCUCGUGUCGUGAGAUGUUGGGUUAAG